AAUUGCAGAGUGGAUGGACUCGGAGAGCCGAUACGCUGCAAACACUACGACCCCCACCCUUCCCUCUACCACUCCGAUCUUCCCCAUAUUCCUUGCGAGCAGCGCUGCAUUUCUCCCUCAUCCAAAGGUGCCUGGGCUGAAGCCGGCCGAGGAGUCGCCUCUUGUGACCCGGAAGCCCAGCUCCCAACUCUGCAGCGGCGAGCUCCGGCCCGGGCCUGUCCCCGGGGAGGGAGAAGGGAGAUGGUGCGUGGAAGGCGGCCUUGCGCCGCCCAGCCACCCCGGGACUGAGAUUCGGAAGCCCUGCCGAAUUCCUCGCGGAGCUUUGCAAGGCGGCAAAUCCUUGCGCCCCGUGGAUGUCCCCUAUUUAUUUGUGCGGCAAGCAGCGCCCUUUCUGUUGGUGCGCGAAGAGCCGGCCCGAGGGGACCCAUUGGGGAGCCCCUCUUCUGAAUCCCCUUCGCGGGAAGGUGGGCGCGACCGAGGGGGCCUUCUGUUUCAGGGCGGGCGACCCGGAAAAGGCCGGUGUGGGAGCGAGGCCUAGUCGGGAAGGGGAGCCGCUUUGGAGCAGCUGGAGAGGCGAGAAGGCGGGAGACGAGAGGAGACAAAAGGGAAAAGGAGAGCGGCCGGUGGAGAAGCCAGGCCCGAGUGGGCGCAGGCCCUCGACUCGGCUUUCCCUCGCCUCCUUCCUGCAAACAGAAAGGCCACCUUGAAGUGGGGCUCCGGGCAGGCCCUUCCGCCUCGCCUAAAUGAGUCGGUCCCAUGUCGCGGGGAGAGGAAGAGAAAGGCCAGGCGACACCAGGAGAGGCCGGCCGGGGCGAAGCACCACAAGGAGUUUGUUUUCGAGCGCGCAAGAUGGCGACCAGGAGAGGCCUCCGGCUACCGCUCUUGGCCUACGGAGCUGAGGGGAAACGGCACUCGCCGGCCACCGCCGAGUGCGCCGGUUCACUUGCAACCUGCGAUGCUCCCGCAGGAAAGCAGGAGAGUCGCUUUCCCGAGGAAGGAACGGUGAAACUGGGAAGCCAGAGAACCCCGGACUUGGCGCAUAUGCGCUGCGCAGGCACUUUCGUCAAAGAGGAAAAGAAGAGCAGGGAAGCGUCGCCGGCUUCCCACCCAAAUUCCCAGCCCUGUUUACAAACACAGCUGUUGUCGUAGAUUUGCAAAGCACCCUAAAAGCCACCAGCCGCGAGAGAAGUUUUAUAAAGAAACAGCAACCAGCCUCUGGAAGCAGAAGUCCUUCCAAUCAAGUCCCUACACUUUUCUCUCACACAGACACAGACAUUCCUUCUCGCAAAAGAGUCAGAAACGAAUGAGGAACCCUACAAUAAGUAUAAAAUCAUCAUCACUUUUUUUAAAACAGUGUUUUAAUUGAAAAUAAAGCUAAAGCAUGCUUUUUCCAACAGUGCAAAUUUCCAUCAUUUUGAUUUACUGCUUCCAUCAUCACAACAUAUUACACCAGCAUGUCUUACCAAAGGCUCGACUCUAGAAGUCUGCCUGCUUCAACUCUGUCGAGGUUUAAGUGCAAAUAUAGACAAUUGCCUCUGAUUGUCACGUGCAGUAGAAAAUGAUCCUGCUACAAAGAUAGGGUGGUUGGGAAAAGUCCUCUUUUUUUCCAGAGAUGUAAAGAAAACAGUGACAAGUCCUGGUUUAAAAAGCCUGAGUUUUGGUGCCAAAGUAGCCACCAAGAGUACGGGGUUCUUCAUUGAUAAUAUCCCUUCCACUGGGGCCUCUGUUGCACUUAGCAUGCUGAAUGUGACUGCAUUUCCUUCCGAUUCCCUCCAAUGGGAGUGUGAGAACCUAACAUUUUUUCCUGACUUUGCAAAUCUGGGAGGACCAGAUUUUGAGAACAUCCCCCCCCAACACACACACCUGCAAACCUUCCAAUAGAAACAGCGCUCCAACCCAGUCCCACAACAAAACCUAAUGAUUGGAAGGCCCCCUCCUUGAGAGUAAAAUUUACUUGGAGGCAAAUCCCAUUGAACUUGGGGUAGAGCAGCUUCCGAGCAAAUGUACAGUGGUUUGGCUGGGUUGAGUACUGUAGCCGAGAUAGGCAAUCGUGGCCAACCUGAAGGGUUCAAGAAGGCAAAGAGUGGCAUGUCCUUUUUUAGUCUCUCUUUUUUUUCGUCCUAAGAAUAUGCCUGACCAUCUAAUUCCAACUCUCCCACUGGUGACCUGGAGACACACGCACACUCCCAACUGCAGGGUGCAACUGCUUUUGUGGAAAGGACAGGUGGGGAAUUAAAACAUAACAAUGAACCCUCUGCAAUAAAGUAGAAGGCAUUCCCAGCAGAAGGAUAGUGAAUUCUCCCUGUGCAACCUCUCGCUGAAAACAAAACAAAAAACCUUGUACGGAACUGAACAUUUAGACUUCCUGAAUUCGAAAUCUAGUGCAUUUACAGGUUAAUGGCUCAUUCGAAUUGUUAUCAUUCAACUUAAAAAAAAAAAACAUAAACCAAACAUUUAUUUGUAGCAGUUGGAAUUGAGGUACCAGGUGCAUUACUAGCAUUUUGAGACAGUAAAGUGUUCCAGCUUUAGCAGAUUCCACUGAGGUGGUUUUUUUGUUUGUUGUGUGGUGUGUGUGUUUUUAAUAAACUUGGAAAACUUUCGCCUGAA